rnacentral:rRNA from 1 species
CCGGAAUCGCUAGUAAUCGCGGAUCAGAAUGCCGCGGUGAAUACGUUCCCGGGUCUUGUACACACCGCCCGUCACACCAUGGGAGGCCGGGAAUGCCCGAAGUCAGUGGCCCAACCAUUAAGGAGGACGCGGCCGAAGGUGGGUUUGGUAAUUGGGGUGAAGUCGUAACAAGGUAUC